rnacentral:tmRNA from 1 species
GGGGAUGUUCUGGAACGCCAUCAGAACAACCAACGCCAGCGCGCGCCGAGAUUGAGAGUAAUCUCGUAAAACACUCUCAAACCUUUGACGUGCAAACUCAAAGUCUGUUGCAUCACCAUACGCGGUGCGUGCACUUAAUUUCGUGUAGCCCAUCGUGGCAUGACGAACGCUCAUAGUUAGUAGCCAACCCUAGCUACAUGAGUGCCAUAACGAUUGGCUCGAUAAUAACCACAUUCUGAAGUUAUUAUUUAAACAAUCAGGAUAGAUAUUUGAUUGUUCUGUUUAUCUUAUAGGUCAUUUAUCAAUAUCCGCAUUUGCAUGCGGUAAAGAUAUACUACGCUCGUAGAUGCUGUCGUUGAUGUCUGAUGCACGUGGGUUCGACUCCCACCAUCUCCACUC